AACGUAGGAGACAAACGUUAUCCGGAGUUACUGGGCGUAAAGGGCGUGUAGGUGGUCUCGUAAGUCUGGCGUGAAAUUUCUCGGCUUAACCGAGGCAGGUCGUCGGAUACUGCGAGGCUAGAGGACGGUAGAGGCGUGUGGAAUUCCGGGUGUAGUGGUGAAAUGCGUAGAGAUCCGGAGGAACACCAGUGGCGAAGGCGACACGCUGGGCCGUACCUGACACUGAGGCGCGACAGCAUGGGGAGCAAACAGG
rnacentral:rRNA from 1 species